rfam:Ictidomys tridecemlineatus contig031630, whole genome shotgun sequence.
AUCUUUUGUGGUUCAUAAAUGCGCUGAUUGGGUUUUCAUACCACUGUGUAAGCUGUGUCUCCCUUAAACCUUGUUACCAUGUUGGAAUAUUACCCCUCUGACA